UCAUCAGGUAGGAUAAUCCAUACCUGUUUCUCCUUUUUUGGAGAACAGAUUAGAAUAUGAUGAUUGGAGUUCGCAUAAUUCGUGAUUAAUGUCUCUGCGUAAUCAGGACUUGCAAAAAAAAGUCUAAAAAAAGCAUUUUUUAA